rnacentral:rRNA from 1 species
GACGUAGGGCGCGAGCGUUGUCCGGAUUUAUUGGGCGUAAAGAGCUCGUAGGCGGUUUGUCGCGUCUGCUGUGAAAACGCGAGGCUCAACCUCGCGCCUGCAGUGGGUACGGGCAGACUAGAGUGCGGUAGGGGAGAUUGGAAUUCCUGGUGUAGCGGUGGAAUGCGCAGAUAUCAGGAGGAACACCGAUGGCGAAGGCAGAUCUCUGGGCCGUUACUGACGCUGAGGAGCGAAAGCGUGGGGAGCGAACAGG